GGAAGGGCUGUGGCUCAUUGAUAGAGCAUCUGCCUCAAACGCAGAAGGGCCCAGGUUCAAUCCCUGGCAUUUCCA